GCGACGGGACCGCAGCAGCAGCAGAGAGUUACAGGAGUUUCAAGAAGCGGGAGCUGUCCGACUCGACACCAGCAGCUGAUAGGAGCUUUGAACCACCAAAAGUCUCAGCAGCUCAAGGUGGAUUUACCCCCAGAGGAGACGACCACUACCACCAUUAACAUAAACCAGCUGAUAGACAUGGACCUGCUCAUUUCGAAGAAUAAGAAGCGUGAGGGCCAAACCCUCCCUGAAAAGUCAAAAGAUCAGGAGGAUGGAGAGGAGACAGACGAGCCAGAGGAGGAAAUGGACCAGUGCCCUUCAGACCCAGAUGUUCCUCCACUGAAGAGAACUGAGAGUGUCUUUAGGAAGUACCUGAAGACAGCUCUCUAUCUGGAAGUGAAGAUGAAGAUGUGAUGUCGAGUCUAUCCUCUAACUCAUCAGGUCUAAGACCAGUGAAAAUGACUAGACCCGUUCACAGGACACCUACAGAGGAGGACCAGGAGUCUGAUGCUUCAUCACAGCUAACCAGAGGUAGAUCAAGGAACUGGACAGAGGAGGACCAUGACUCUGAUACCUCAUCACAGCCAUUGAAUCACUGUUUUCAAGAUGAGUCAAGACCUGUGAAGAAGAUGAAACCCACCAAGAGGACACCUAGAGAGGAGGACCCUGAGUCUGGUACCUCAUCACAGCCAAGAAAAGACGAGUCAAGACGUGUGAAGAAGAUGAAACCCACCAAGAGGACAUCUAGAGAGGAGGACCCUGAGUCUGAUACCUCAUCACAGCCAAGAAAAGAUUCAUCAAGAAAGAAGAGGAAGAUGUGGAGCAAAGCAGAAGUCCACGCUGUGGAACAAAAGCUAAUGCACAACAUUAAGACUGGCAAGGUUCCUGGGAAAGCACAGUGUCUUGAAUGUAUCCAUGCAUUCCCAGAUGCACUGAAAGGUAGGACCUGGGAUGCUGUGAAAUACUAUGUGAAAAACCGCAUAGACACCUGGAAGCGGCGGUCUACGAGGUAACUGCAAGCUCUUGUUUUGUGUUUGAAAGAGCAACUGUUAAUGCAGCUCUCACCAUUUGAU